UUCCAGUAAACCAAACUUGAAUAUUCUAGACCCUGUUUCACUAAAAAAAACAUGUUUACAAUUAUGUUUUUCAACAUGCCUUAUAAAGAUGGUUGUUAGCUCAAAUUAUACUUAUAUUAUUUCGUCAUAUUAAGUUUUGUUUAUGACGAAAUCAGAAUUUAUUCACGACUCACAUGUGAGUCACGGGCCCUGCGCGACUGUUUGAACAUGACCCAUACGCUGAGUCACGGGCCCUGAAUGGGUUAAGAAGAUUGUACAAUGGCCACAUUGGGGAGUAUUUCCUUCUGGGUGACUCGGGGUAUGCUCUUGAGCCAUGGCUCAUGACGCCAGUGCUGAAUCCUGCCCCGGGAAGCCCAGAAGCAAGAAAUGUUCCCGAGGAAAUCGUAGGAGAUAUUGAUGAAGACGCUCCUCAAGAACUUCCUCAUCGUCAUGCGCAAAACGGACUACUAUUAAGAGUGGCGCAGGAAAAGCGUGCGCGUCUAAUAAAUACAUAUUUUGCUUA